CCAAUAGCGUAUAUUAAAGUUGUUGCAGUUAAAAAGCUCGUAGUUGAAUUUCGGGAUCAAGGGAUCGGUCAUGCCUUGGUAUGUACUGGUCUUAUUGGUUCUCACCUUCUAAAGAACCAUGAUGUCAUUCAUUUGAUGUUAUGGGGAAUUAGGACUGUUACCUUGAAAAAAUUAGAGUGUUUAAAGCAAGCUUACGCUUGAAUACAUUAGCAUGGAAUAA
rnacentral:rRNA from 1 species